rnacentral:rRNA from 1 species
AACGAACGCUGGCGGCAGGCCUAACACAUGCAAGUCGAGCGAAGCCUUCGGGCUUAGCGGCGGACGGGUGAGUAACGCGUGGGAACGUGCCCUUUGGUACGGAAUAGCCCCGGGAAACUGGGAGUAAUACCGUAUGUGGUCGAGAGACGAAAGAUUUAUCGCCAAAGGAUCGGCCCGCGUUGGAUUAGGUAGUUGGUGGGGUAAUGGCCUACCAAGCCGACGAUCCAUAGCUGGUUUGAGAGGAUGAUCAGCCACCAUGGGACUGAGAAACCGCCCAGACUCCAACGGGAGGCAGCAGUGGGGAAUCUUAGACAAUGGGGGAAACCCUGAUCUAGCCAUGCCGCGUGAUCGAUGAAGGCCUUAGGGUUGUAAAGAUCUUUCAGUGGGGAAGAUAAUGACUGUACCGACAGAAGAAGCCCCGGCUAACUCCGUGCCAGCCGCCGCAGUAAAAC